CCUACGGGAGGCAGCAGUGGGGAAUAUUGGACAAUGGGCGAAAGCCUGAUCCAGCAAUGCCGCGUGAGUGAUGAAGGCCUUAGGGUUGUAAAGCUCUUUUACCAGGGAUGAUAAUGACAGUACCUGGAGAAUAAGCUCCGGCUAACUCCGUGCCAGCAGCCGCGGUAAUACGGAGGGAGCUAGCGUUGUUCGGAAUUACUGGGCGUAAAGCGUACGUAGGCGGUUAUUCAAGUCAGAGGUGAAAGCCUGGAGCUCAACUCCAGAACUGCCUUUGAAACUAGAUAGCUAGAAUCUUGGAGAGGUGAGUGGAAUUCCGAGUGUAGAGGUGAAAUUCGUAGAUAUUCGGAAGAACACCAGUGGCGAAGGCGACUCACUGGACAAGUAUUGACGCUGAGGUACGAAAGCGUGGGGAGCAAACAGGAUUAGAUACCCUGGUAGUCCACGCCGUAAACGAUGAUAACUAGCUGUUCGGGCUCUACGAGCUUGAGUGGCGCAGCUAACGCAUUAAGUUAUCCGCCUGGGGAGUACGGUCGCAAGAUUAAAACCUCAAAUGAAUUGACGG
rnacentral:rRNA from 1 species